AUUGAACGCUGGCGGCAGGCUUAACACAUGCAAGUCGAACGAGUGGCGGACGGGUGAGUAAUGCUUGGGAAUCUAGCUUAUGGAGGGGGAUAACUACGGGAAACUGUAGCUAAUACCGCGUACCAUAGGAUGAGCCCAAGUGGGAUUAGGUAGUUGGUGGGGUAAAGGCUCACCAAGCCGACGAUUGCUAGCUGGUCUGAUAUGAUUACCAGCCACAAUGGGGCUGAGACACGGCCCAGACUCCUACGGGAGGCAGCAGUUGGGAAUAUUGCGCAAUGGGGGCAACCUGACGCAGCCAUGCCGCGUGAAUGAAGAAGGCCUUCGGGUUGUAAAGUUCUUUCGGUAGCGAAGCGGUAACUAAAGAAGAAUCACCGGCUAACGCCGUGCCAGCAGGCGCGGUAAUAC
rnacentral:rRNA from 1 species